GUGGCUGUAGCUCAAUCGGUAGAGCACCAGACCGUGACUCUGGUCGUUGCGGGUUCAAUUCCCGUCAGCCACU
rnacentral:tRNA from 1 species